AGCGAACGCUGGCGGCAGGCCCAACACAUGCAAGUCGAACGAACCCUUCGGGGUUAGUGGCGGACGGGUGAGUAACACGUGGGAACGUGCCGUUAGGUUCGGAAUAACUCAGGGAAACUUGUGCUAAUACCGAAUGUGCCCUUCGGGGGAAAGAUUUAUCGCCUUUAGAGCGGCCCGCGUCUGAUUAGCUAGUUGGUGAGGUAAUGGCUCACCAAGGCUACGAUCAGUAGCUGGUCUGAGAGGAUGACCAGCCACAUUGGGACUGAGACACGGCCCAAACUCCUACGGGAGGCAGCAGUGGGGAAUCUUGCGCAAUGGGCGAAAGCCUGACGCAGCCAUGCCGCGUGGAUGAUGAAGGUCUUAGGAUUGUAAAAUCCUUUCACCGGUGAAGAUAAUGACUGUAGCCGGAGAAGAGGCCCCGGCUAACUUCGUGCCAGCCGCCGCGGUAAAAC
rnacentral:rRNA from 1 species